rnacentral:rRNA from 1 species
AGAGUUGAUCCUGGCUUAGGACGAACGCUGGCGGCGUGCCUAACACAUGCAAGUCGAGCGAGGAGAUCCUUCGGGAUGAUCCUAGCGGCGGACGGGUGAGUAACACGUGGGCAACCUGCCUCAUAGAGAGGAAUAGCCUUCCGAAAGGGAGAUUAAUACCUCAUAACAUUGCAGUUUCGCAUGGAACAGCAAUUAAAGGAGUAAUCCGCUAUGAGAUGGGCCCGCGGCGCAUUAGCUAGUUGGUGAGGUAACGGCUCACCAAGGCGACGAUGCGUAGCCGACCUGAGAGGGUGAUCGGCCACAUUGGGACUGAGACACGGCCCAGACUCCUACGGGAGGCAGCAGUGGGGAAUAUUGCACAAUGGGGGAAACCCUGAUGCAAGCAACGCCGCGUGAGUGAUGACGGCCUUCGGGUUGUAAAGCUCUGUCUUCAGGGACGAUAAUGACGGUACCUGAGGAGGAAGCCACGGCUAACUACGUGCCAGCAGCCGC